rnacentral:lncRNA from 1 species
UGAAAAGGGGCCAAAAUAACAUAAACGAGAAAGGCAGCUAAAGCUAAGAACAGAAAUAAAGCAUCCACCGAAUUACAAGAAGAUAAUAACGGGAUUACGUAGAACUGAUACAUCCUUAAAAUCCGUGUUUGACAACUGGCAGCCUUUUCCCGUUUUCACCUUUCUUUUCUUUGCAGCUCACCGACACAACGGCAUUUCGGACACAGACCAAGGGGGGCCAUUGUCGUCAUUUCUGCUUACAAUUCCCAUGGGGACCGUUACGACAGUGUCUUAUACCAUGAUACCGAUGUAGGAGGGUAUUUCGGUCAUGAACACACGUGAUCGCCUCGUGACUCCACUGAACUUUGUUUUCACGAAUCCCCCACGUUCCAUUUUGGAGCGUGACU